CCUAAUAAUCCAUUAUUUGAGCUCAAUAUAGCAUGCAUUAGAAGUAAUUCUUUUGUUUGAAGCCUAUAUUAUUUAUAUC
rfam:Pachysolen tannophilus NRRL Y-2460 unplaced genomic scaffold PACTA_scaffold_10, whole genome shotgun sequence.